UCCAGAGCUGGAAAACACCUCCAUCCUGCCCCUUCAUGCCAUGGCCUCCCUGCUCUUCUUCUGUGGGGCCUUUUGUCUCCUGGGAACAGGGUCCAUGGAUGCUGAUGUUACCCAGACCCCAAGGAAUAGGAUCACAAAGACAGGAAAGAGGAUUAUGCUGGAAUGUUCUCAGACUAAGGGUCAUGAUGGAAUGUACUGGUAUCGACAAGACCCAGGACUGGGGCUACGGUUGAUCUAUUACUCCUUUGAUGUCAAAGAUAUAAACAAAGGAGAGAUCUCUGAUGGAUACAGUGUCUCUCGACGGACACAGGCUAAAUUCUCCCUGUCCCUAGAGUCUGCCACCCCCAACCAGACAGCUCUUUACUUCUGUGCCACCAGUGAUUUGCACAGUGCUUCUUGGCCACCUGCUCUCUACACAGAAAGACAGACACAUGGUCCACGUGGGCAGAGGGAAAUGGGGCAGAGGGAAAAGUUGGGCUAUGCUGUAUGCUCAACAAAGUCCUUCACUGACCCCACAGGGAACUCUGAGUCUGGAUGGUCCUUUAGCGCCAUCCCAAGCAUGACCAUGUACGACAUUCCUCACACAACACACAAAGCCCUUCAGAAAUGGUUCUCCAACUAA